rnacentral:rRNA from 1 species
CGUUCCCGGGCCUUGUACACACCGCCCGUCACACCAUGGGUAGUUGGUUUACCUGAAGACGGUGCGCUAACCGGAAAGGGGCAGCCGGCCACGGUAGGGUCAGCGACUGGGGUG